ACUAGUGAUUGGUACGCGGCGCAGCAGGCGCGAAACCUCCUCAAUGCACUAACGUGCGAAGGGGUUACCUCGAGUGCUACCUGAAGAAGGUGGCUUUUCCUUGGUCUAAAAAGCCUCGGGAAUAAGAGGGGGGCAAGACUGGUGUCAGCCGCCGCGGUAACACCAGCCCCUCGAGUGGUGGGGAUGAUUAUUUGGCCUAAAGCGUCCGUAGCCGGCCGGGUAAGUUUCCCGUUAAAUCCAACGUCUCAAGCGUUGGACUGCGGGAAAUACUGUCUGGCUAGAGAGUGGGAGAGGUGUACGGUAUUCUGGGGGUAGGGGCGAAAUCCUUUGAUCCCCGGAGGACCACCAGUGGCGAAGGCUGUACACUAGAACACGUCUGACGGUCAGGGACGAAAGCUGGGGUAGCGAACCGGAUUAGAUACCCGGGUAGUCCCAGCUGUAAACGAUGCAUGCUAGGUGUUGGGUUGGCCACGAGCCACCCCAGUGCCGCAGGGAAGCCGUUAAGCAUGCCGCCUGGGAAGUACGAUCGCAAGAUUGAAACUUAAAGGAAUUGGCGGGGGAGCACCACCAGGCGUGAAGCCUGCGGUUUAAUUGGAGUCAACGCCGGGAACCUUACCGGAAGCGACAGCAGAGUGAAGGCCAGAUUGAAGAUCUUGCCAGACGAGCUGAGAGGAGGUGCAUGGCCGUCGCCAGUUCGUGCCGUGAGGUGUUCUCUUAAGUGAGAUAACGAACGAGACCCGCGCCACAUGUUGCCAUCAGAAUCUAAAGGAUUGCUGGGCACUCUUGUGGGACCGCAGCCGAUAAGGCUGAGGAAGGGGCGGGCAACGGCAGGUCAGUAUGCCCCGAAUCUUCCGGGCCACACGCGGGCUGCAAUGGUAUGGACAGAGGGCUGCCACCCCGAGAGGGGGAGCCAAUCCCUAAACCAUACCUCAGUUGGGAUUGAGGGCUGCAACCCGCCCUCAUGAACAUGGAAUGCCUAGUAACUGCCAGUCAUCAUCUGGCGGUGAAUACGUCCCUGCUCCUUGCACGAAUUCGCCGAAUCCCGCG
rnacentral:rRNA from 1 species